GGAUUGGCUUUUAAACUGGUCAAACCAGCUUUUAAGCUCUUUUUAGCUUAUUUGAGUGUUUGGAAAUGUUGAUAAAGUACUUAAAAGCAAUUGGCUAUUAAGCCAAAAGGCCCAAAACAAGUCAAAAGCCAUAAGUUGGGAUUGCCCAACUUAUUGCUUUUUAGCUUAAAAGUUAACUAAGUUUGACGAACUAGCUUACAUUAUUAUCCCUUAUAAUUUUUCUAAUUUCAAGAAUACCCUCAGAGACAAAGCCCUGAUCUACCUUUCAUUUCUUCUGUCCUAUACUUCCAUCGCUGCCUCAUUCUCUGUCCUUUCAUCGCCAGUUUUACCUUGCAUCUCCAUGGCUCGUCUCUGCUAUGCAAAAGCUGAAAUUAAAUGUGAUAAUAAUGUUAUUGAAUUUGCUGAAAAGAAAAAAGUAGAAGCAUGUGUGUAACCUAUUCAAGUGAAUUCUUGAAUUUGCUGGAGUGUAAAAAAAAAAAAAAAAAAAAGAGUAGAACAACGGUAUUAUUUGGUGCCACAUGUCCAUGUGCCGAAAAUAUUAGAAUUUAUAAGAGUAAUACUUUGUGUACAAAAAUAUAAGAAUAUAGUGGAAGAGUUCAAAUAUAUAAGUAGUGUUUCCAGAAAAUGUUCAUAAAAUUGAAAUCAAUUGAAGCUCCCAGAUUCUAGAAAUUUUUAUGUUGCUAAUGUUUUUGUUGUUGAUUGGGUUAUUAUUUCUUUUCAUUUUUGUUAUGAAUACAUACGUUUCCUUUUUUAAGGGCAUUUCAGUAUAAAAAAAAAUGCUUACUAGCACUUUCAAGCAUUUUUUUACCAAACAACUCAACAACCUUUUUUCAGCUUCAACACUUCUAUCCAAACACGUAACUCUUUAUUCAUAAGACUAGCUCCAGCACUUGAAAAGUACUUUUCAACACUUUGCUUAAAAGCUACUUAAAUUCAGCCAAAUCCGAACGGGCUCUAAUUGCCAAACCAAACACUCUAAGUCUUGGUGGGCAGAAAUACUUGUACAUGUGCUGGUGGGAGGUAGGGUCGGGACACCACUGUUACAAAAAAAAAAAAAAAAAAAGGCCAAAAAAUUGCUUCUUAUUUUGUCCAUGGAAUUGCAAAAAGAGGUCCUUCUUUGCUGUUUGAUGCUAUUAAGUUGCUCAUCUGUCUAGGUCUUCGGGAUUUACAUGUUUCCCUAAGCUAGCUGUUAUUUGUGAACCUCUGCAUUCUAGUUGAUGCUUUUGGAUAGUUUGAAUAAUAUACUAAACACUAUCAAGGAAGAUUUUGCAAUCAAAUUCACAAGGUCAUAGUUAGCUAGUAGUCCAGAACUUGCUUCCUAUGCAGUCAAACAUGGACCCACAUAAUCAAACACGACACCUCUGGCAAAUUUCAUUUAAAUCUUAAGUUUGGAAGGACAAACCACAACAAGCUUUCUGAUGUUAUGAAGAGGUUCCAUUUCAGUUUUGAACUUCUCGCUUCUGAGUUAGGUGCACAGAUC